UAACACGUGAGCAACCUGCCCUGGACUCUGGGAUAAGCGCUGGAAACGGCGUCUAAUACUGGAUAUGAGCUUUCACCGCAUGGUGGGGGUUGGAAAGAUUUUUCGGUCUGGGAUGGGCUCGCGGCCUAUCAGCUUGUUGGUGAGGUAAUGGCUCACCAAGGCGUCGACGGGUAGCCGGCCUGAGAGGGUGACCGGCCACACUGGGACUGAGACACGGCCCAGACUCCUACGGGAGGCAGCAGUGGGGAAUAUUGCACAAUGGGCGGAAGCCUGAUGCAGCAACGCCGCGUGAGGGAUGACGGCCUUCGGGUUGUAAACCUCUUUUAGCAGGGAAGAAGCGAGAGUGACGGUACCUGCAGAAAAAGCGCCGGCUAACUACGUGCCAGCAGCCGCGGUAAUACGUAGGGCGCAAGCGUUAUCCGGAAUUAUUGGGCGUAAAGAGCUCGUAGGCGGUUUGUCGCGUCUGCUGUGAAAUCCCGAGGCUCAACCUCGGGCCUGCAGUGGGUACGGGCAGACUAGAGUGCGGUAGGGGAGAUUGGAAUUCCUGGUGUAGCGGUGGAAUGCGCAGAUAUCAGGAGGAACACCGAUGGCGAAGGCAGAUCUCUGGGCCGUAACUGACGCUGAGGAGCGAAAGGGUGGGGAGCAAACAGGCUUAGAUACCCUGGUAGUCCACCCCGUAAACGUUGGGAACUAGUUGUGGGGACCAUUCCACGGUUUCCGUGACGCAGCUAACGCAUUAAGUUCCCCGCCUGGGGAGUACGGCCGCAAGGCUAAAACUCAAAGGAAUUGACGGGGACCCGCACAAGCGGCGGAGCAUGCGGAUUAAUUCGAUGCAACGCGAAGAACCUUACCAAGGCUUGACAUACACCAGAACACCGUAGAAAUACGGGACUCUUUGGACACUGGUGAACAGGUGGUGCAUGGUUGUCGUCAGCUCGUGUCGUGAGAUGUUGGGUUAAGUCCCGCAACGAGCGCAACCCUCGUUCUAUGUUGCCAGCACGUAAUGGUGGGAACUCAUGGGAUACUGCCGGGGUCAACUCGGAGGAAGGUGGGGAUGACGUCAAAUCAUCAUGCCCCUUAUGUCUUGGGCUUCACGCAUGCUACAAUGGCCGGUACAAAGGGCUGCAAUACCGUGAGGUGGAGCGAAUCCCAAAAAGCCGGUCCCAGUUCGGAUUGAGGUCUGCAACUCGACCUCAUGAAGUCGGAGUCGCUAGUAAUCGCAGAUCAGCAACGCUGCGGUGAAUACGUUCCCGGGUCUUGUACACACCGCCC
rnacentral:rRNA from 1 species